GAUGAACGCUGGCGGCGUGCCUAAUACAUGCAAGUCGAGCGAACAGACGAGGAGCUUGCUCCUCUGACGUUAGCGGCGGACGGGUGAGUAACACGUGGAUAACCUACCUAUAAGACUGGGAUAACUUCGGGAAACCGGAGCUAAUACCGGAUAAUAUAUUGAACCGCAUGGUUCAAUAGUGAAAGACGGUUUUGCUUUCACUUAUAGAUGGAUCCGCGCCGCAUUAGCUAGUUGGUAAGGUAACGGCUUACCAAGGCAAGGAUGCGUAGCCGACCUGAGAGGGUGAUAGGCCACACUGGAACUGAGACACGGUCCAGACUCCUACGGGAGGCAGCAGUAGGGAAUCUUCCGCAAUGGGCGAAAGCCUGACGGAGCAACGCCGCGUGAGUGAUGAAGGUCUUCGGAUCGUAAAACUCUGUUAUUAGGGAAGAACAAAUGUGUAAGUAACUAUGCACGUCUUGACGGUACCUAGUCAGAAAGCCACGGCUAACUACGUG
rnacentral:rRNA from 1 species